rnacentral:rRNA from 1 species
AGAGUUUGAUCAUGGCUCAGAACGAACGCUGGCGGCGUGCUUAACACAUGCAAGUCGAACGGAUCAGUGAGGAAGGGCAACCGGAAACACUGGUUAGUGGCGCACGGGUGAGUAACACGUAGGCAACCUACCCUUGAGCGGGGGACAACCCAGGGAAACCUGAGCUAAUACCGCAUAAGACCACGAACUGGGAUGUUCGUGGUAAAAGGAGCAAUCCACUUGGGGAUGGGCCUGCGGCCUAUCAGGUAGUUGGUGGGGUAACGGCCUACCAAGCCAGAGACGGGUAGCCGGACUGAGAGGUCGAACGGCCACACUGGAACUGAGACACGGUCCAGACUCCUACGGGAGGCAGCAGUGGGGAAUUUUGCACAAUGGGCGAAAGCCUGAUGCAGCGACGCCGCGUGGGGGAAGAAGGCCUUCGGGUUGUAAACUCCUUUUGCAGGGGAAGAUAAUGACGGUACCCUGCGAAUAAGCCACGGCUAACUCUGUGCCAGCAGCCGCGGUAAGACAGAGGUGGCAAGCGUUGUUCGGAAUUACUGGGCUUAAAGGGCGCGUAGGCGGCGGCAUAAGUCUGGGGUGGAAUCCUAAGGCUCAACCAUAGGACUGCCCUGGAAACUGUAUCGCUUGAGUCGGACAGGGGAAGGCGGAAUUCCAGGUGUAGCGGUGAAAUGCGUAGAUAUCUAGAGGAAGGCCAGUGGUGAAGACGGCCUUCUGGGUCUUGACUGACGCUGAGGCGCGAAAGCGCGGGGAGCAAACAGGAUUAGAUACCCUGGUAGUCCACGCCCUAAACGAUGGGUACUAGGUGUGGGGCCUGUAGGGGCUCUGUGCCGAAGGGAAACCAUUAAGUACCCCGCCUGGGGAGUACGGCCGCAAGGUUGAAACUCAAAUGAAUUGACGG